rnacentral:rRNA from 1 species
UACCCGCUGAAUUUAAGCAUAUUACUAAGCGGAGGAAAAGAAAAUAACUAUGAUUCCCUCAGUAACGGCGAGUGAAGCGGGAAGAGCUCAAAGUGAAAAUCGCUGUUCCUUUUGGAACUGCGAAUUGUAGCCUCUAGAGGCGUGC